GUGCCAGCAGCCGCGGUAAGACGUAGGACGCAAGCGUUAUCCGGAUUUACUGGGCGUAAAGCGCCUGUAGGCGGUCAAGUAAGUCGGAUGUGAAAGCCCCGUGCUCAACGCGGGGAAGCCAUUCGAUACUGCGUGACUAGAGAACGGCAGAGGGAAACGGAAUUUCUGGUGUAGCGGUAAAAUGCGCAGAGAUCAGAAAGAACACCGAUGGCGAAGGCAGUUUCCUAGGCCGCAUCUGACGCUGAGAGGCGAAAGCUAGGGGAGCAAACAGGAUUAGAGACCCUGGUAGUCCUAGCUGUAAACGAUGGAUGCUAGGUGUGGGCCGGAAAGGUCCGUGCCGUAGUUAACGCGAUAAGCAUCCCGCCUGGGGAGUACGGCCGCAAGGCUAAAACUCAAACGAAUUGACGGGGACCCGCACAAGCAGCGGAGCGUGUGGUUUAAUUCGAUGCUACACGCAGAACCUUACCUGGGCUUGACAUGUAGGUGGUAGUGAAGUGAAAGCGGAGCGACCCUUCGGGGAGCCUACACAGGUGCUGCAUGGCUGUCGUCAGCUCGUGCCGUGAGGUGUCGGGUUAAGUCCCGUAACGAGCGCAACCCUUGUCCUUAGUUACAAGUGUCUAAGGAGACUGCCGGUGACAAACCGGAGGAAGGUAGGGAUGACGUCAAGUCAGCAUGGCCCUUAUGUCCAGGGCGACACACACGCUACAAUGGUCGGUACAAUGGGCAGCGCAGCCGCGAGGUGAAGCGAAUCCCAACAAAGCCGAUCCCAGUUCGGAUUGCAGGCUGCAACCCGCCUGCAUGAAGCCGGAGU
rnacentral:rRNA from 1 species